UACGUAGGGUGCAAGCGUUGUCCGGAAUUAUUGGGCGUAAAGAGCUCGUAGGCGGUUUGUCGCGUCUGCUGUGAAAACGCGAGGAUCAACCUCGCGCCUGCAGUGGGUACGGGCAGACUAGAGUGCGGUAGGGGAGAUUGGAAUUCCUGGUGUAGCGGUGGAAUGCGCAGAUAUCAGGAGGAACACCGAUGGCGAAGGCAGAUCUCUGGGCCGUAACUGACGCUGAGGAGCGAAAGCAUGGGGAGCGAACAGG
rnacentral:rRNA from 1 species